CGUAGGGUGCGAGCGUUAAUCGGAAUUACUGGGCGUAAAGCGUGCGCAGGCGGUGAUGUAAGACAGGUGUGAAAUCCCGGGGCUCAACCUCGGAACUGCAUUUGUGACUGCAUCGCUGGAGUGCGGCAGAGGGGGAUGGAAUUCCGCGUGUAGCAGUGAGAUGCGUAGAUAUGCGGAGGAACACCGAUAGCGAAGGCAAUCCCCUGGGCCUGCACUGACGCUCAUGCACGAAAGCGUGGGGAGCAAACAGGAUUAGAUACCCUGGUAGUCCACGCCCUAAACGAUGUCAACUGGUUGUUGGGUCUUCACUGACUCAGUAACGAAGCUAACGCGUGAAGUUGACCGCCUGGGGAGUACGGCCGCAAGGUUG
rnacentral:rRNA from 1 species